rnacentral:rRNA from 1 species
CCUACGGGAGGCAGCAGUGGGGAAUAUUGCACAAUGGGCGAAAGCCUGAUGCAGCAACGCCGCGUGAGGGAUGACGGCCUUCGGGUUGUAAACCUCUUUAGUAGGGAAGAAGGGCCUUCGGGUUUGACGGUACCUGCAGAAAAAGACACCGGCUAACUAACGUGCCAGCAGCCGCGGUAAUACGUAGGGUGCAAGCGUUGUCCGGAAUUAUUGGGCGUAAAGAGCUCGUAAGCGGUUUGUCGCGUCUGCUGUGAAAACCCGAGGCUCAACCUCGGGCCUGCAGUGGGUACGGGCAGACUAGAGUGCGGUAGGGGAGAAUGGAAUUCCUGGUGUAGCGGUGGAAUGCGCAGAUAUCAGGAGGAACACCGAUGGCGAAGGCAGUUCUCUGGGCCGUAACUGACGCUGAGGAGCGAAAGCGUGGGGAGCGAACAGGAUUAGAUACCCUGGUAGUCCACGCCGUAAACGUUGGGCGCUAGAUGUGGGGACCUUUCCACGGUUUCCGUGUCGCNGCUACGACAUAGUACGCCCGCCCGUCGGGAGGUACGGCCGGCCGACGACGUAAACUAACAAACGAAGUAAGUAGACGCGNGAGAGCGACGACGACGACGACGAGGAGGAG